rnacentral:rRNA from 1 species
UUGCCGUCCGGCGAGACGAACGCAAGCCACUACGAGCGGCUCAUCCACAGUGGCUUCCUCCUGAAAUGGGAACUGCCCCCUCCUCUCCCUGCACCUGCACCUAGGAAUGAACCUCCUCCCUCUCCAGGUAGUGAGAGGAGAGCGAAGAAGAUUAUACUAAUAGGUAUACCAUCAGCAGCUGCAACCUUUCUCUUUGCAUGUCUUUAUGUACUCAUAUGGCAUGGAAACGGGAAAGGACUAUGGUUUCUCCUUUGCAAUAGUAGCAGUAAAACUGAAAAAAAUUACGAGGCCAUGAUAGUCUCAUAUGGAUCCCUAGCUCCAAAAAGAUACAUGUACUCAGAGGUAAUGAAGAUAACGUCUUCUCGCAACAAUCAGCUUGGUAAAGGUGGUUAUGGUGUGGUUUUCAAAGGAAAACUACAUGAUGGUCGUCUGGUUGCAGUGAAAUUCUUGCAUGACUACAAAGGAAAUGGAGAUAAGUUUGUGAAUGAGGUUAUGAGCAUUGGCAGGACCUCUCAUGUUAAUGUUGUUAGCUUAGUUGGGUUUUGUUUGAAGGGAUCAAAACGAGUUCUUAUAUAUGAGUACAUGCCCAACGGUUCCUUGGAUAAGUACAUUUACUCAGAGAACCCCAAAGAAAUUUUAGGAUGGGAGAGGCUCUAUGCGAUAGCAAUCGAGAUUGCUCGUGGCCUCGAAUACUUGCACCAUAGCUGUAAUACACGUAUCGUCCAUUUCGAUAUCAAGCCCCAAAAUAUCCUUCUAGACAAGGAUUUCAGCCCAAAGAUUGCUGAUUUUGGUCUGGCUAAGUUGUGUCAUACAAAGGAGAGCAAGCUUUCAAUGACUGGAGCUAGAGGAACAAUUGGAUUCAUCGCCCCAGAAGUUCACUCCCGAACCUUUGGAGUGGUUUCAACAAAGUCAGACGUUUAUAAUUAUGGAAUGAUGCUGCUGGAGAUGGUUGGAGGGAGGAGAAAUGUUAGAUCAAUUGUUGCAAAAUCCAGUGAAAAGUAUUUCCCUGAUUGGAUUUAUGACCACUUUGCGCAAGAUGAUGGAUUACAAGCAUGUGAAGUCACAAAUGAAAUUGAGGAGAUUGCAAGAAAGAUGAUCUUAAUUGGCUUGUGGUGUAUACAAGUACUACCUGUGCAUCGCCCAAAUAUAACAAAAGUUCUAGAAAUGUUUGAGAGAAGCUUAGAUGAUCUGGACAUGCCGCAGAAGCAAAACUUCUGUGAACUACUUGAAAGUUCAGCUCACAAUAUGGAUGUACAAAGUUCAAGUUCUACCAGACCUGAGGAGAUCAACCUUGCGAAUUGAAAAUCCGUAAGACUGUCGCCAACUCUUUGAGCAGAUACGCCUUGUGGAUCCAAAAAUCCUACAUUAAUCCCCAACACCGUAAUUAUGAGAAGGUGGCAUGUACAGGCACAUACUCCAUGUAUGCAUGACCUAGAGUCAAGAGCAUCCGCAUGCGAGCGUCCUAAUUUAUGGACCAGAGAUGGAAUAAAAUUUUCUCUGGUGAAUUUUGUGUUUCAGGUUCAACCUGCUAAAAGGCAUUGGCUCUUAUGCCAAAGGCAGACAGCUACCUAACUUCUUGACUGGAAAUUUCCCCCAAAACUCAGUAAAUGCGAUUUAGGCUCUCAAUCAUUGUCCUAAAGUAUCAGGAUCCAGAUGCAUAAAGUGCAUAUCCAUCUAAACUUUGUGAUGAUAUAUGCCAAUUCAUAGCGAGCAGAUUAAUUGUGGAAGCGGGUGGCACAUAGAGCAUACAUACUUUAUCCUCUUAUAUGCUCUCCUUGGUGAUACGUGGUAUCAAUUCAAUGGUGCGCCAUUUAAUAUAUUUCAUGUAUAUACAGACUGUAUUUAAGGGUGGCUCUACCUGGAAGCUG